rnacentral:rRNA from 1 species
CCUACGGGAGGCUGCAGUCGAGAAUCAUUCACAAUGGGGGAAACCCUGAUGGUGCGACGCCGCGUGGGGGAAUGAAGGUCUUCGGAUUGUAAACCCCUGUCAUGUGGGAGCAAAUUAAAAAGAUAGUACCACAAGAGGAAGAGACGGCUAACUCUGUGCCAGCAGCCGCGGUAAUACAGAGGUCUCAAGUGUUGUUCGGAAUCACUGGGCGUAAAGCGUUCGUAGGCUGUUUCGUAAGUCGUGUGUGAAAGGCGCGGGCUCAACCCGCGGACGGCACGUGAUACUGGGGGCCUAGAGGAAUGGAGAGGGAGCCGGAAUUCUCGGUGUAGCAGUGAAAUGCGUAGAUA